GUAGUUAGCCGGAGCUUACUUCGCAGGUACCGUCAUUUGUUUCGUCCCUGCUUACAGAAGUUUACAAUCCGAAAACCUUCUUCCUUCACGCGGCGUUGCUGGGUCAGGCUUGCGCCCAUUGCCCAAUAUUCCCCACUGCUGCCUCCCGUAGGAGUCUGGACCGUGUCUCAGUUCCAGUGUGGCCGAUCACCCUCUCAGGUCGGCUACCCAUCGUCGGCUUGGUGAGCCGUUACCUCACCAACUACCUAAUGGGACGCGAGCCCAUCCAUAAGCGAUAAAUCUUUGACCUCUUUGCCAUGUGACAUUGUGGUCUUAUGCGGUAUUAGCACCCGUUUCCAGAUGUUGUCCCCCUCUUAUGGGUAGGUUGCUCACGCGUUACUCACCCGUCCGCCACUAAGUCAGUAAAAAGUUUGUCCCGAAGGACUCGCACAUUACUGCUUCGUUCGACUUGCAUGUGUUAAGCACGCCGCCAGCGUUCGUCCUGAGCCACGAAUCGAACCCUGA
rnacentral:rRNA from 1 species